rnacentral:rRNA from 1 species
AUGUCGGAAGAGAGCUGCCGCCAACCUGAGACCAGUCCGGAUGCCGCACAAUCCAACACCACGAUCUUGUCUGGGGACCGUAAUGAGCAGUUGAAGCAGUUGUUGGAGCUCAAGUGGAAGCAUGCUCAUCCUCGCGCCUGCAGCAGCGUUCUUUUGGACUACAGAAGCCAAGAUUCCCUCGACUUGCUGCCGCAGCGGGGGUUUGAGUGUGAGUUGGGGCCUGAGUCUGAGUCAGAGCCAGAGCAAGACCUUGAGUCUGAGUCAGAGCCAGAACAAGACCUUGAGUCCGAGCCAGAACUCGAGCCGGAGCUAACAUUCUUGGAGAAGACGUGGCAGGUUCUUCACAUACUUCUCUGCAAACAGUUAGCUGACCUUGACCCAAAGAGGAAUGCUCUUGUCCCUACCCGCGUGUGCAAGUUCAACAUAGCCUUCUUUAACCUUGACAUAGAGUCUGCGGUUAUCCAUGGACCGCCACUUAAAGAGCUACCUUCUUGUGACUGGAGCAAGACUGUGGCAUCAUCUGUCAACAUUGUGUCCUUGAAGGUUAUCAAAUCCGAUGUGGGCUACCCUAUCAGUGUAUUUGGUAUUGUUCUCGCAAGGGAUGCGGUCGACUACAAAUGUGUGUAUCUCUUCAAGCGUGGAAGGGAUGAUCCCCAGCUCAUCAACUCUUCGGAGGAUGAAUUAACUUUAACAGGACCGCGUCGAGCAUUUAUUGCACGAGAUAGCAUGUUUUUUGAGAUUAACUUAAAGAUCAAGGGUGCUUCUGGGAUUGCAGAAGGAGAUUUUAGCAAAGGUGUAGUGGAGCACAAUCUCAACUGCUAUGGUGGUCGAGCUAUGGCUCGGUGUCUGACUAGUUGGCGUAGCACAGUUGAAUUGGUAUGCAUCCCUGUUCGGCAUCCUGUGGAAGCCACCCUUGAAGUCAAAAUUCUGGAGGGACCUCAUGGUGUGCCUUUCCGUGGCAAAGUGAUUGCUUGGACCGAUGACUUCGAAGAGAAUCCUAUGACCCUAUUCGAAUACGAUGAUGACAGCAGCGAAGAGGUUGCAGGUGGUCAGGGAUUAGUCAGAGACGAUGGCUCUCUUGCGCUAGCUCGUAAUUUGAUAGCUGUCCCUAUCAACAGGGAUGACGGAGAAAUGGUGCUCAAUGUCUGCUUUGUUGGUAACCAUGAUGAAAACGAAGGCAUUGUGGUUGCUCUGCAAUACCCUUGUGAAGAGGAGUUUUGCACAUAUGGUUCCUACGUACUUCAGUUGAAGGUUGCAUGGAAAGCUAUUCUAACCAGGCCAAUGUCGAGAGAAGUCCAUAACAGAUUGUUUUCUCUGCCACAGCCCCAACUAACUGUUAACUCGUGGAUGUGGGAGUUGGUAUUCCAAGGUAGUCGCGGAUCCUUUGGUGAAAAUAUAAUUUAUGAUACAUAUUAG